AUUGAACGCUGGCGGCAGGCCUAACACAUGCAAGUCGAGCGGAGCGGCGGACGGGUGAGUAAUGCCUAAGAAUCUGCCUGGUAGUGGGGGAUAACGUCCGGAAACGGGCGCUAAUACCACAUACUAUCAGAUGAGCCUAGGUCGGCUUAGCUAGUUGGUGGGGUAACGGCCUACCAAGGCGACGCUCCGUAACUGGUCUGAGAGGAUGAUCAGUCACACUAGAACUGAGACACGGUCCAGACUCCUAUGGGAGGCAGCAGUGGGGAAGAUUGGACAAUGGGCGAAAGCCUGAUCCGGCCAUGCCGCGUGGGUGGAGAAGGUCUUCGGAUUGUAAAGCACUUUAAGUUGGGAGGCGGUACUAAAAGAAUAAACACCGGCUAACUUCGUGCCAGCAGCCGCGGUAAUUC
rnacentral:rRNA from 1 species